GAUGAACGCUGGCGGCGUGCCUAAUACAUGCCAGUCGAGCGAACAGACGAGGAGCUUGCUCCUCUGACGUUAGCGGCGGACGGGUGAGUAACACGUGGAUAACCUACCUAUAAGACUGGGAUAACUUCGGGAAACCGGAGCUAAUACCGGAUAAUAUAUUGAACCGCAUGGUUCAAUAGUGAAAGACGGUUUUGCUGUCACUUAUAGAUGGAUCCGCGCCGCAUUAGCUAGUUGGUAAGGUAACGGCUUACCAAGGCGACGAUGCGUAGCCGACCUGAGAGGGGGACGGGCAACCAUGGAACUGAGACACGGCCCAGCCCCCCAGGGGGGGCAGAAGUAGGGAUUUUUCCGAAAGGGGGGAAAGCCUGACGGGGCAACGCCGGGGGGGUGAUGAAGGGUUUCGGACGGUAAAACCCUUUUUUUGGGGAAAAAAAAAUUGUUAAGUAACGUUGCCCGUUUGGACGGUACCAAACCAAAAAGCCCCGGCAAACUCCGG
rnacentral:rRNA from 1 species